GCCCGGUGUGGUAGCGCAGGCCUGUAGUGCCAGAUACUCAGGAGUCUGAGCGGGGAGGCUGACUUGAGCCAGGGAGUUCCAGUGCUCUGCGCUGAUUGUCUGAUACACGACAUUCAGCAUCCACACAGCAACCUCCCAGGAGUGGGAGACCCCAGGUUGCUUAAUAAGGGUGAGCUGGCCCAGGCUGGAAAUGGAGGAGGUCAAAACUCCUGUGCCGAUCGGUAGUGAGAUGGUGCCCGUGAAUAGCCACGGCACUCCAGCCUGGGCAACAUCGUGCGUGAGCCCCGCAUCU
rnacentral:SRP_RNA from 1 species